AGUAAUAUUCUUGAACUUGAGAGUUCAUGAAUUUAAGUUAGUGAACUUUUCCUUAUAGUUCAUGAACUUUUUUUUUUAUAAUUCAUGAAUAAAUUCAUGAAGUUCAUGCACCUAUUUCACAGGGGCUGACAGAUCUGUAUCAAAUUUUCAUUAGGCCUAGUUAUGCAUCCCAAAGUGGGGGAGCAUAUAGUCACAACCUUGUUCGUUCGUUCGUCUGUCUGUCACACUUCUUGUCUUGAGGAAACUAAACUCAAAAAGUAUUGAAGGUACGAAGUUGUAACUCAAACAAUGAUAAAACUCAUUGAGAGGAAGUGCAGUGACAAGGAACCAUAACUCUAGAUGGUACCAUUUUUGAAUUAUUUCCCUUUUUUUGAAAACCUUGUCCAUGGGAUAACUUGAAUACUUGUUGACGUAAGAUAUUGACUUCAUACUUCCAUUGGUGCUACCAAUCGCCUUGUUUAUGAUAAUGUAAUUUGACUUGUAAGCCUUCAGUCAGAUCAGUUACUGGGUCAGUGUUACAUAACUGUUAGUAGUUUUAGAUAUACUACAAUUUGCAUGCAAGUGUACUGAAGUCAUUUUCUUCCUGAAAUUUCUAGAUCACAUCAUUUGAUCAUAAUAACCACUUCCUUUUACAGAAAUGCGUACAUUUUAAUCACAUUUAAUUGAACAUGUAAUUUCAAUAUUUGUGACCUUAUGUUAGAGCUCGAGGAUAUAUUUGAUUACUGUAUUUUAUAUGUACCGGGAAGCAUGAUAUUUGUCAUGCACUUUGUUCAGUGAAUGCAUAAAUAUACAUUCGAAUUACGUGACUGAUUUGAACAACGUAAUAAAUUUAUACAUGUGAAAUACAAGAAAUAGGUUACAAAUGAUAAGGGAAAUAUGCAUGGUUAAAGUACCGGUAGCUUUGAUAACAUAUAUAGAUUGUUAGUACAGUGAUUGAGGAGUCAACAUUUUAGUUCUCUUUACAGUUUGCCGGUCAUUCUGUAUUGAAGAAAGUGGUUGUUUUUCCCUGUGAAGCUUGUCUUUUUGUACAGAAAUCCAUGCACAACUUUUAAGCGCUUUUUGACACAAGAUGGCCUUGAUCAGUAAUUACUAACUUGCAGCAAACAAUUGUGAAAUGUAUUCUGUAAUAGGUUAGCAAACAUGUUUCUUCACUUAUUCAUGUUAAAAACCUCUUUUAAAAGACUUGAGUUUUAACCAGUAUGUCUCCUCUGUACAAGGAUGUUUGUCAGAUGCCACAGAUAAUGACCUAGCUGAAAUUAUAAGUCUGACAGAGGUCACUUUGUUUAACAAUUAACUUACAAAGUAUAUUGUAAUUUACUUAGAUGAAAAACUCAAGUAAUCCCUCCUCGACAGGAUGUUUUAAGUGAUCACCUAUGACAGGUGGGUGGCUCAAGCAGCUCCUAACCAAUGUUCACCAAGCUUAGUCAGGAUAUUAAGGAAGUGAUAUCUGAGCAAAGUUCAAAUACCAACAGGAUCAUCCCAUCUGUUCUGGAGUUAAGCCGAUUGUAAAAAUUUACAGUGUUGACUCAAUAACUAGAGAAUUAGUAUUUUAAACUAAACGAAAUUUACAGACAUUCUUUUAGGUGUAGUGCAGUUUUGAUGACCAGCUAGAUUGAUUAGUAUUUUCAGAGUUAUAGCCCUUGAAUUAAACAAAUUGUAAAAAUUGACAGUGUCGCUCAAUAACUAGAUCUGGAGAAUUAUUUCAAACUAAACGAAAUUUACAGGUAUACAGAAUGUAUGUUUCUUUAAGGUCUAGGGCAAUUUUGAUGACCAACCGGAUCAUAUUAGUAUUUUCAGCCCCUGAGUAAGCCAAAAUUGCAAAAAUUGAGUAUUUAUUUUGUCUUUGAGCUUCAGGUUAAAUUUUAUAUCCAGUCCAAUCUUUCUUUGAGAGCAUUUUUAGAGUAAUGGCCCUUGAAGUAGUCAGUAGUGUGACAAAUUGUAUGUCUGCUCAAUAACUUUGGAGUGAUUUUUCUGUGAAAUACACCAAACUUAUGUUGAAGCUGUAUUAAUGAUCAGCCAUUUCAGACCAAUAUGUACAGAGUUAUAGCCCUUGAUUUAAUAGAAACAAAAUUUAAUUGGGUAUCCAUGCAUUUCAUUGGUAAUAAUUGAUCAUUAUGCCUUCAACAGAACAGAGAAAUAAAUAAUAAAAAAAAAAAAACGAUACUAGGUCACUAUGUUUAUUCAGUUGAAUUAUUCACAUGCAUUGUUCAUAGUUCUUUUAGUAGCAACGUAUACUUACUUGUCCAUUCAUUUAAAUGUAUUUUUAUUGACACUGUUGCCAGAAUGCACAAAUUUCUUGUCAAAAUCUUCUUCCCCAGAUGAAGCCUACUAACUGCAAUGAAAAUAAUUAUUCAGUAUUUCAUUUUGUUUUAAACCUUUGUGAAUUUUCUUUCUUGACUGUUUCGAGCAUGCCAGAAUGCAUUAUUGAUACAGAUAAGUAAAUUGGAUAUUUUUAGACUGCAUGAAUAGCUGUUAGCUUAUAUUAUUUAGUGUAGGAGGCAACAAGCCAUAAAUGUUAAAUUUUGCGGACAUACCGGGUAUAUCAUGAUAAAUUAAGCAUGCAUGAGGAUGAGAAUUAGGUAUUUUGGUUUUAUAUAUGAGUUUUGAUUUGCACUAAAAGAAAAUUGAUUUGAAUAGUUUGCAAAUUUAAUUGGGUAUUUAUGCAAAUAUGCAGCUUAUCAGUUGCUCUGAUUUUACAUAUGGUGAAAUUAUACCGUAUAUGCUACUAAGGAUUUCACUCAUACUGAAAUAGAUUUGCACAUUUCAUGCAUUUGAUUAAACUUUAUGCAUUGAGCAAUGCUGAUAAAUGCAAACUUCCAUCUACUAAAAUGUACUCCUUAAUCCAGAGGCCCUUUUCUCUGCACAGUGUCCCUAUAGACUCUUUAAAAAUGUCAUGCACAUCUACACGUCAUGUUGAUCAUUUUGUAAGUACAUUUGAACCCCAUUGACUUAUGCACCACAAAUUAUUUGCAACAGACUAACCAACCACAUUGACGUAAGCAGAGGACUCCUGUAUUACCUUAAGUUCAUUUCAGGGGGCAUAAUUAAGUAAAUUGGUGUAAUAUACUCUGAAAGCUGGAGAAAAGGAGCAAUUCCCAAUAUUUGUGUCAUUGGUUAAAUAGAAUGUAAGUGGAUUGCUUCCAUAUGCAAUUGAGGUGCACUUGUAGCACUUGAUUGCAGACACAAAUAAGGCUUUUCCUCCAUUAUAUUUUUUACCACAAUUUUAUCAGUUAAUGUUUACAAAAGUUAAUAAGCAAGCUAAAGCAUUCAUUUCAUGUGUUGGCUAUUGCAGGACUUUUUUAUGAAGGAAAAGAAAUAUCUGUUCCUUUCUCAUUUUUUCUUACUUCUUCAAGUUCUUUUAGAAAAUGGUAAAAUUAGGGGACUGUAGGAAUUGCGUAAGUCUGUCCGUCCGGAAAUCUGGAUCCUGCAUUUUCACAAAAAGUAUUUAAGCUAGGUUCAUAAAAUUUACAUAUGUGAAUAGAGGGCAAUAUGUAGAUUAUGCACAUAUAUGACUUAUGCUUGUAGGUCAAAGGUCAAGGUCACUAUUGAAGGUCAAGUGAAAACUGUUUCCACUCCGUUACUUUCAUAUGCAUUGAUGGAAUAUCUUAGUUUUACUUACAAAUGUUCUCUAUGAUGAGACAAAUGAUCGAUGCUUGUUGGCUAAAGGUCAAGGUCACUAUUUAAAGUCAAGUGAGUAUUUUUUCCACUCAAAUAACUUGUAAUUGCAUUGAAGGAAUUUUUUAUUACUACACAGAAAUGUUCCCCAUGACCCAUCUUUGUUGGUCAAUGGUCAAGGUCACUUUUGAAAGUUUUCCACCUGUAGGGGACUUCUGUAUUGCCACUGCAAUACUCUGUCACUUGUUUACCCUGAAAGCAACAUGCAGGGUCCUUGGAUUUUGAAAAAGUGGAGGAAUGAUCUAUUUAUGUCCAACAAACAUUUUAUUAGGGCUGUCAUCGAUAGAAACGAUAUCGAUGUAUCAACGAUUUUUUUUUGUCGAUCGAUUAUCGAUUCCCAUUUUCAAAAAUCGAUAUUUUACAGGGAGAAAAAAACUACCCAAAUAAACACUCAGACCCUAAAAAACAACUUAAGUUCACAAAGUUGUAAAUUUAGAUGAAUGCAAAAAAGGAGUGAAGGCAAAAUAAAAAUGAAAGAUGUUAUUAAUUUUUAUGUAUUUCUUUUAUUUCGUAAAUACAAAUACAACACAAUCAAACAGAAAUAUGGAAAGUAGGCAAUAAAACUUAAAAUAGCAUUUACAGGAAGGUAUAUAGUAUGCAUAUAAACAAGUAGGUCGUUAAUCUAACUUAAUAAUCAAUAUAUCGAUGUAUCGUCGAUAUUUGCCUUCUGAUAUAUCGGUAUCGUCGAUACGCCUAAGACCUAAUCAAUGACAGCCCUACAUUUUAUUAGUAAUACUUUGAACGACAGGAGUUAUAAACUUGAAAUACACAGUUUGGCAUUGCUGUAUAGCAGAUGUGUUCCAGUGGUAACAAAACACACUACUAAACCAGGGACUAUUUGUUGGGGCUCUUUUUGUCACAUUCAGUGACAAAUUUUUGAAGAAGUAAAAUCUGUGUAUGGAUGCUUUACACCUGACGCUUCUGGAAUUAUUAUAGCUCCUGUAUCUUGCACAAUCCUUCAGGAGUAGUUAACUCCUGGUCUGGACCACAUGAAAGACUCUGGACUCUCAGUGUACUUGGAUGGAGGAGAUUGAUGAAGGACUGUCUUGCAGCUUAAUACCAUUGGUUGUUAGUUUGUAUACAGUUAUAAGGAAUAACAUACUGCUGAUGCCUAGGAAUGGAGACAUUUUUGUCACUUACGUUAAUUACAGGUUAAUGUGUAAAUGAUGGGGAUGACUCAGCAAGUCAUACAGGGGCCAAAAUUAUUGUUCAAACAGCUGUUUAUGUCAUUCUCCACCCAAUACAGACACUUCAAGAUUUCCCAGGCACUUUCUGUAAGCUUUAGGUGUACUCACAAACUUAUGACAAAUUUUAUCCUUGGUGUAGUAAUAAAUAACAUAGAUGUAAUAAUUAUUCCAACUACAAACAAGCCACUGAUUCCAGCUGUCUAGACUCAGCAUUAAUUGCAGGGAUUACUUUAUCAGUAAUAUAUCAUAUGUUUGUUACAAUUUAAACUCCUGAUUACAAUUUUUUGCUCUUGUAAUGAAGGUUUGGCAAACAAAUGAGCCGCGCCAUGAGAAAACCAACAUAGUGGCUUUGCAACUAGCAUGAAUCUGUACCAGCCUGCACAUCGGCGCAGUCUGGUCAGGAUCCAUGCUGUUCCCUUUCAAAGCCUAUUGCAAUCACAGAAACCGUUAGCGAACAGCAUGGAUCCUGACCUGACUGCACCGAUGCGCAGGCUCAGGUCUGGAUCCAUGCUGGUUGCAAAAGCACUAUGUUGGUUUUCUCAUGGCGUGGCUCAAAUAGUUCCAGCAUUUUUUCUCUUACUUAACUUAUUCUCUUAUCAAAUUAAACAUGCUAAAGUUUUCUUAUGAGAGCAUUAGCCCAGAAAAUUUACAUAGAUAUUUUUCAAUGUGAUAAGAACAUUUGAAAUAAAAAGGGAACUUAACAUAAUGGCAAUAGCAAAGAUUUUGUAUUUAACUGAAUACAUUUGACGUCAGUACAUGAGAUGGUAAUAAUUUACAAGUACACUUAAUGAAACCAUCAUUGAAAAUGGUAACUGGGUCUCUGAAUCUGUACAAAAAAACUCAAACUGUUGUAUUAAUAAAUUUUCGUCACCUUGACACAGAGAAGCAGAUGUCGCAAACUUGGUUUUGUUCAUGGAUGCAUACUCUUUAUUUCAUUCAUUACAUACAAAGCCAAAGCCAUAGAAUAGAAUAGCAUCAAUAUUUAUUGUGUGCCAUAUGUUGUGGUUAUUCAGCUUUUCAAGAAAUUGUGCCUUUAUGCUUGAAAUUGUGAAUAAAUGGGGAUUUCCUCCAUCAAUCUUUUACCUUUAUCUUAUUUAAAGGUAGGUCUGAGAUUUGUCCAUGGCCUGAAAAGUUUACCAUACUUAAUAGUAAAAUUAAAUAACAGUACAUAGGAAUAAAAGUACUAAUCUUAUAAAAAUUGACACAUCUUUUGUUUCCUUGAUGGUCUAUAAUAUAUUAAGGUAUUCCUUCUAAUGUGACAGUCAUGAGUUCAAACAUCUCAAACACCUCCUCAUGUGACUCUAGUGCUGUUUUUUUCUCCAGUGGAAAGUGAACUUAGAAAUUAUUCAGAUGCUGAAAUCACUUAUUAUAAACCAAACUAUCUCAAUGAGGAUAUCUGGUGGUAUUAAUCACCUUUUGUGAUAUCUCUAUUUGUUCCGAUAGUCUUCCUGGAGAUGAUAAACAUUCUUACUUUGAUACUUAAUUUGGAUUACCUCCCUUGUAUCGUAAUUAUUAUAAAUCUGAGAAAAAUACCUUUUCUAAUAAAAAGAAUUAAUUUCUUGCAUUUACAUUGUAUUUAAUUUAAAAUGAGAGAAUAAGCAUUAAUUUGGUAACUGGAGUAUAAACCAACCUUGCAAUUUAUGAUUUUCCAGCGGUUGAUUAAUUUGCUUUAUUUAUAUAUUUUCAGGAAAGUUUAACAGAUGCCAAAAAACCUCCAGAUUUAGUCAGUGAUUUUGUAAAAGAAUUGCUGCAGAAAGCGAAGACGUUAUAGACCUGCCAUCAUGUAAGACCAGAUCUCAUGGGAUUGGUUGACUGUCAUACUCAUUUCUGUACAAACCUUGGUCACAUGACGGUCAUGUGACCAUGUCAUUCAGGGAUUCUAUAGUUUCAUUUUGAGUUUGAUUUGUCAUUUUUAUGCAUUUUCAAGUUCACAAUAAACAAACAGGAUAUUAUUUAUGUCUCAUGUUAUUACACAUUUUACUGUCUCAUUCAUCAUGUAAUUUUUUCAUUAAUCAUGUUAAAAAAAUGAAAAGAAAGCUCUAUUCAUAUUCUGCUUUACUUUCUGAAUUUUUUUGACAGAUUUCCCGAUCACUUCUUUUUAGAUUUUUCGAUUGGAUAUAUAGGCAUUCUUAGCAGCAAAUAAUGAGUCUUGUAUAAAAAGUGUUUGAAACUGUUUUUUAUUACAGAUAAAUUUCUUGCACAUUGCUUAUUUAUUUCUCUCAAAGUCAGUUUUAAGGGAUUAUGCUUAUUAGUUGUGUUUUAUCAAAUGAGACCUCAAUUGAAAUUGUCUACCUUAGUCUUCAACAAAGGUAUGAAAAGCGUAUUAUCGUGACAUGGUAAUUGAAUCAUAAAAUUGAUCUAAUUUUGCAUCAUGUGUUUUUAUGGUUGUCAAACGCUCUCAAGUGGUUUUUAUGUAUGUAAUUUUACAAUUGACUUAGCUAUGGAUCAUAAACAAAAGAUGCACUUUCUUUUUUGCCCAGAACAAAUUUAAUGUAAUACUUUAAGAGGGCAUAAAGGUAUUUUAUGAUGUAGAUUGUAGGGGUAGUAUUUUUUUUAAUUCAGUUGUCACAAAAUCUAAACACAACAAAUGCAUUUACAUUUUAUAUCAGAUAAACACUGAAAAUUUCUUGUCGGUUCUUUAAUGUUAAAAUCUGUGACCACGGACCAUCAAAACCAGUCUAUAACUCUUUAAGAGAAGGUCUUGAUAGUUAUAUUUAAACUAGCACUUAGUUUAAAUCUUUGGUGUGUUUGCUUAACACUAGAGACUACCGUAUAUUUACAUUUGGAAAAAGAUUGCUUCAUAUUUUGAUAGUUGAGAACAUUUAAAGUUUUCAUUGAAAGAAAUUUUGAUUGUAUUUAGAGGAGAAAAUUGUAACAACAUUUAUUUAGUUGAUCAAGAUUACAUACACAACUUGGUCUAUAGAUUGAAACAGAUUUUCUUUAGAGGUCAUUCCUCACACACUGUUUAUUGAUAGGUCUCUAUUUAUUCUGUCACAAUGUCACAAUAACUUGUAUAGGCUCUCCAAUACAGAUUUUAUCACACAAGAAUUUUAUCAGUGAGAAGAUGCUAGAAAAUUAAAGGGAGCUAAAUCAUGUUUAUAUACAUUUUGAGUAGACAUUGUUGUCUCCCAUGAAUUGUUGGGCUAUAUAUCUGGAACUAGUCAAACUAAAAUAUUCUGUAACUGUUUGUCAGUGUGUUAUACUGGAGGCUUUAGGAAUAUAUUUUUCACUUAUGAAAUCCACAAGGUUUUGUGAUUUUAUGUAUAGAGAAUACAUGUAUAGAUAUUUACAUAUAUAUUCAUCAAUGUCUUGUACUGUGAAUAGUGUUCAAAAUAAUUUACAGUAUUUUUCCAGAAAGGUAAAUUUGA